rnacentral:rRNA from 1 species
UCCGUAGGUGAACCUGCGGAGGGAUCAUUACCGAGUUUACAACUCCCAAACCCCUGUGAACAUACCACUUGUUGCCUCGGCGGAUCAGCCCGCUCCCGGUAAAACGGGACGGCCCGCCAGAGGACCCCUAAACUCUGUUUCUAUAUGUAACUUCUGAGUAAAACCAUAAAUAAAUCAAAACUUUCAACAACGGAUCUCUUGGUUCUGGCAUCGAUGAAGAACGCAGCAAAAUGCGAUAAGUAAUGUGAAUUGCAGAAUUCAGUGAAUCAUCGAAUCUUUGAACGCACAUUGCGCCCGCCAGUAUUCUGGCGGGCAUGCCUGUUCGAGCGUCAUUUCAACCCUCAAGCACAGCUUGGUGUUGGGACUCGCGUUAAUUCGCGUUCCUCAAAUUGAUUGGCGGUCACGUCGAGCUUCCAUAGCGUAGUAGUAAAACCCUCGUUACUGGUAAUCGUCGCGGCCACGCCGUUAAACCCCAACUUCUGAAUGUGACCUCGGAUCAGGUAGGAAUACCCGCUGAACUUAAGCAUAUCAAUAAGCGGAGGA